UGCAUGCAUACGAUCUGCAGUCUGGCCUGCCCCCUGAUAAAUUUAAAGGGCCGCGGUAUCUGAACCGUGCUAAGGUAGCAUAAUCAAUAGUCUUUUAAUUGAGGUCUAGUAUGAACGGUCGGACAGGAGGUAAACUGUCUUAAGUGUGUAUUUUGAACUUUACUUUUAAGUGAGAAGGCUUAAAUUGCGUAGGGGGACGAUAAGACCCUAUAAAGCUUUACAUGUCAGUUCUUGGUUACAAGGGUUAAGGUGCCUGUAGCUAGUGGGUUGAUAUGUUUCGUUGGGGCGACGAGAAUAUAAUAUGUAACUGUUCUGAAGAUUAAAAUAAAUAUAUUUAGAAAACUUGAUCCUUUUUUGAGAUUAUAAGAUUAAAGUUACUUUAGGGAUAACAGCGUAAUUUUUCUUGAGAGUUCAUAUCGACAGAAUUAGUUGCGACCUCGAUGUUGAAUUAAGGUGUUAUUAAGGUGCAGCAGCCUUAAUGGUGAGUUUGUUCAACUCUUAAAA
rnacentral:rRNA from 1 species